UAAUACGGAGGGAGCUAGCGUUGUUCGGAAUUACUGGGCGUAAAGCGCACGUAGGCGGCUUUUUAAGUCAGAGGUGAAAUCCCGGGGCUCAACCCCGGAACUGCCUUUGAAACUGGGAAGCUAGAAUCUUGGAGAGGCGAGUGGAAUUCCGAGUGUAGAGGUGAAAUUCGUAGAUAUUCGGAAGAACACCAGUGGCGAAGGCGACUCGCUGGACAAGUAUUGACGCUGAGGUGCGAAAGCGUGGGGAGCAAACAGG
rnacentral:rRNA from 1 species